rnacentral:rRNA from 1 species
GAUGCCUUUAACCGGGUGUCGGGGGCGGACGGCACGUUUACUUUGAACAAAUUUGAGUGCUCAAAGCAGGCCUAUGCCUGAAAAUUCUUGCAUGGAAUAAUGGAAUAGGACUUCGGUUCUAUUUUGUUGGUUUUCGGAUCCGAAGUAAUGGUUAAGAGGGACAGACGGGGGCAUUUGUAUGGCGGUGUUAGAGGUGAAAUUCUUGGAUCGCCGCCAGACAAACUACAGCGAAAGCAUUUGCCAAGGAUGUUUUCAUUGAUCUGGAGCGAAAGUCAGAGGUUCGAAGACGAUCAGAUACCGU